CGGACGGGUGAGUAACGCGUGAGAAUCUGCCCUCAGGAGGGGGAUAACGGCUGGAAACGGCCGCUAAUACCCCAUAUGCCGCGAGGUGAAAUGAAUUUCGCCUGAGGAUGAGCUCGCGUCUGAUUAGCUAGUUGGUGGGGUAAAGGCCUACCAAGGCGACGAUCAGUAGCUGGUCUGAGAGGAUGAUCAGCCACACUGGGACUGAGACACGGCCCAGACUCCUACGGGAGGCAGCAGUGGGGAAUUUUCCGCAAUGGGCGAAAGCCUGACGGAGCAACGCCGCGUGAGGGAUGAAGGCCUCUGGGCUGUAAACCUCUUUUCUCAAGGAAGAAGACCUGACGGUACUUGAGGAAUAAGCCACGGCUAAUUCCGUGCCAGCAGCCGCGGUAAUACGGGAGUGGCAAGCGUUAUCCGGAAUUAUUGGGCGUAAAGCGUCCGCAGGCGGCCCUGUAAGUCUGUCGUUAAAGCGUGGAGCUUAACUCCAUUUCAGCGAUGGAAACUACAGGGCUUGAGUGUGGUAGGGGCAGAGGGAAUUCCCGGUGUAGCGGUGAAAUGCGUAGGUAUCGGGAAGAACACCAGUGGCGAAGGCGCUCUGCUGGGCCAUAACUGACGCUCAUGGACGAAAGCCAGGGGAGCGAAAGGGAUUAGAUACCCCUGUAGUC
rnacentral:rRNA from 1 species